GGGUGCAAGCGUUGUUCGGAAUUACUGGGCGUAAAGCGCGCGUAGGCGGCUUUGUAAGUUAGAGGUGAAAGCCCGGAGCUCAACUCCGGAAUUGCCUUUAAGACUGCAUCGCUAGAAUCAUGGAGAGGUGAGUGGAAUUCCGAGUGUAGAGGUGAAAUUCGUAGAUAUUCGGAAGAACACCAGUGGCGAAGGCGACUCACUGGACAUGUAUUGACGCUGAGGUGCGAAAGCGUGGGGAGCAAACAGG
rnacentral:rRNA from 1 species